ensembl:miRNA Gm44409 predicted gene, 44409
AUGAUAUGAAUGCACACAUACUCACUGCCACUCUGACAAGUCCCUUGACUGGAUACAAGCCUUGAGCAUCUAGAAUGAGAGAAAACUACCAAGACCAGAAUCAGAAUUCCUUAAAGAUUUUAUAUGUGUAUGUACCAAUUGUUACUUAUUUAUUUUCUACUCCUUU